GAGUGCUGUUCAAAGCGUGCCGCGCGUUCGUCGUGUGUUCCGAUAAUUAGUGCGUGUUCGUGGUUAACCUGCUUACGCGAGUGAUCUCGUCGUGUGAGGAAAAGUGCCAGAAAUUAAGAUGCGGUAACGAUGGAACGAAGGAGAAGGCCGAGAAAGUGUCGGGUGGCAUCUAUGCAGCUGAAGACGUUUUGACUUGAGUUUCGAUGAUGGAUAGAAUGCCGUAGAAGAUAUUCUCUGCAAGCAGGGUUCCAGAGUAAAUCAUCUCCGUGAUACGGCGCUACUUGGGAGACAGCGCGUUUUGAAGAAAAAGCGAUGACUACAAAAGGAACGAGAGUACACGGAAAAGGAAUGGAAUUGUAAGUCUCACAAGCGGAUAUCAUUAUGUGUUAUUAACGUCAUCUAUUACUCAUUCGUUAUAAUUGCUAUUCCUGUAACAAUUACAUAUUAUUUAUAUGUGCCGCUAUAAUUUAGAGCAAAAGUAAAAGAGACUGUGUUAAAUGCAGUUUAAUAACAUCAGACAUAAAUUUAGACUAAUAUAUCCAAGUCAAUUAAAACUCGUUCGGAUCCAUCAAAAUAAUGGGCCAAGUUCGUAAUUGCAUUACGCGGGAUAAAUGGAUUGUUACUGUUAGGAAGAAACAUUUAUAAUCUAAGAUCAACUUUUCAAAAACUUCCAAUAAAAUUCCGUAUCAAAUAAAAAUUCUGUAAAUUCUGUAAAAAUUAACUUAUUGCAAUUAAUAAAGCAUCGCCGCGUUUCCCUUUGCUUUCUGUUUUAUUUCAACGACCGCAUAAAACGACUGAAGGGUAUCUUGGAAAGAAAAGCAACAUGGUCUCUUCGCGGGGAUGAAAUCCAUACCACCCACGUGCUAUGACGUGUUCGACUUUUACCCUUUGCGCCUCUCGGUGUUUCCAGAGAUAACACUCACACACAGAUGCGAGACAUCCAGCACGAACCAACCCGCGCGCAUGCGAGGCGAGACGUAACAUAUAUUUACGUACGCGUCAUUUCGCUAUACGACGGCCGAAAUCGCCCCUUGCUUAAUGGAACUACCCUUAACAAAAUGGCGACCACUCGAACGAAAUUGGGAUGUAUGGUAUCUACACUGGAUGCCGCAAAUACCUUCAACGCAUGAAAUCGCAAUAAUUUUUCGCAUACUCGGAUGAUGAGAGGUUUGUCGGGGAAGAACUCGACAUUCAUUUAGGGAAGCAUUACGAAGCGGCUGGCUCGACAAUUUGACGUUCAACGUAUCAAUAAAAUUAAAGAUAAAUAAUAAAUCUCAUAUAAUUAAUAAAGAAGCAGUUGGAGAUAAA